UGAUUCGAUUCCAUCUGGCAACCCUGGUAGUUCUGUUAUAUUUCAGGUUAAAUAUAAAUUUCAACACACAAGAAUAUAUCACGUUACAGGACAUCCUCAGGCACCAGUCUACAUUAGUUGUCCUUUGAGCACUUUGAAACUUAUCAUCACACAGGCUUCCGAGAGACCUACGGCAACAUUAAAGGUGAGUACUGGUCACACCUUCCGUGUGACAACAAUCCCUCGUAAUCUUCACCUGUCUGGGCUAUGGAGGGAAAAAUAAAUCCAGGCUUUAUGAACUUUAUGGCCAUAAUUCUAAAAGAUAUGUUUCACACAAAAACAAACCAGCUUUUCACACAAAGAACACCACAGACACACUAUGAAGCAUGGUGGCGGUAGCGUCAUGCUAUGGGGCUGCGUCUCUUCAGCUGGGAAAAUACUUGUUGGUUGCUAUAACACGUUAAACAUAGAAAAUGAUCCGACACGCUCGAUCUAGCCCUCAUGAUUUAUACCCUUUAAAGGAAUGUUCUCUUCUUUUGUCGGAUUACACAGCGUUUCAUUUACUUGGAUUUUCAGUUGUCACGAGCAAUGGAAAUUAUUCUUCUUAAUAAAACAGUAUCACGGUAACAUUAAUUCAGGGAGGUUUAUUGUGUUUAUCAAGAACAUUGUAUUUGUAGAGCCUUUCUGAUUCUCACUGACAAGUAUAGUGGUCAACUUCAGCCAUAGUCGACCCAUCGCAAAUCACAGGCCAUGAUAUUCCCAUAAUAUAAUCACGAAGUUUGGGAACGAGCCGUUCGAGGGCCGAAAGAGUCGACUCUUAUUGGUGAAGCUGUGAACGAUUUGACUCACCGGAAAGAGAGAGUGUUCCCAUCACCAGCCUCAGCCCAGCUAACAUCUUUUUUUUAAAGCUGUUUUCUCCUAUUCAUGUUUUUCCCGGCUCCCUCCUGCGUCUCGCCGUGUUGUUUUCGGCCUGAAUUCCUCAUUCGCGACUAUUGAUUCGCCUUUGUUCGCUGUCUGACAGGUUCUCCACUCGGCUACGACCAGGGAUCGUGUAUGAAGCUGGAAUAAACCUCUGUUGGAGGACGUACACGGCUCUCCUGAGUACAGCAUGUUAUAGCUCUGGUAUAGAGGUGAUAAAACUGAGCUACUCUGGGCGAUGGAAUCUGAUUAGCAUUGAACAGGUGGGCGGACGGCCAUGGUAGCGCAGCAUGAUGUUGAAGGAGCGGG